ACUCAAAGGAAUUGACGGGGGCCCGCACAAGCAGCGGAGCGUGUGGUUUAAUUCGAGGCUACACGAAGAACCUUACCUAGACUUGACAUGGGAUAGAACGAGGGUGAAAGCCCGAGGUUCGCAAGACUGUUCCACAGGUGCUGCAUGGCUGUCGUCAGCUCGUGUCGUGAGAUGUUAGGUUAAGUCCUGUAACGAGCGCAACCCCCGGUGGUAGUUACAAGGUGUCUACCGCUACUGCCUGCGUAAGUGGGAGGAAGGUGGGGAUGAUGUCAAGUCAGCAUGGCCUUUAUGUCUAGGGCUACACACACGCUACAAUGGCCGGUACAACAGGUUGCCAAGCGGUAACGCGGAGCAAAUCCUCACGAAAGCCGGUCUCAGUUCAGAUUGUGGGCUGCAACCCGCCCACAUGAAGUCGGAGUUGCUAGUAACCGCGCGUCAGCCAUAGUGCGGUGAAUACGUUCCCGGGCCUUGUACACACCGCCCGU
rnacentral:rRNA from 1 species